CGCACAUUGCGCCCGCCAGCAUUCUGGCGGGCAUGCCUGUUCGAGCGUCAUUUCAACCCUCAAGCCCUAGCGGUUUGGUGUUGGCGGCAGGGUGGCCCUCGUGCUACCCGCCGCCGAAAUGCAGGGGCGGUCGCCUCGCGGUAACCAUUACGCAGUAGUAACAUCUCGUAACUGGGACGCGGAGCGGCCACGCCUAACCCUAAUUCUUUCUAGAGUUGACCUCGGAUCAGGUAGGGAUACCCGCUGAACUUAA
rnacentral:misc_RNA from 1 species